AACAAAUUGCCUUACAGCUUCCUGCUCACCUCUGUCAACUUGACUGAAUUGGAUACCCCUGGAGGUUCAUGGCUUUGCCUCUGAUAUAACCUGCUUAGAUGACACUUCAUCUCCAAGGAUGACUUUAUCUCCCCACUGUGCCUAGUGAACUCCUGGAUAAACAGAUCUCAGUAUCAUUGAUUAGUUGUACUUGAACUAAAUACACCUUCACACGCCUGGGAUCUAAAGAGCCAUCAUCUCAACAAAAGCUUUUAAAGGUUUAUCAGAGUGACAGGACAAAAAUAUGACAUAUGUUCAGAAAAUUAAACAGCCUCAUCUUCAGAUCUAAAGAAAUCUGUUACCGGGGUUUCCUGGUCCUGGAAAGGUAAACUGCAAAUUAUGAGGACAUCCUGGUCCGGGCACCUGUGCCUAGAAUGUGGCCGUCAGCUCUCACGAUGAGGAGGUUAAGAGCAAGGGCUCCACAGUCACUAUCUGGGCUCAGACCUCUGACCGGCAGGGAGACCCUGGACAAGGUGCUUUGUCUCUGAGCCUCAGAUUCCUAAUCCACAAAAUGGGGAUAACCUGAGUGAAGAUUAAAUGUGAUAACCCAUUAAAUAUCCUUACA